UACGGGGGGGGCGAGCGUUGUUCGGAAUUACUGGGCGUAAAGGGUGCGUAGGCGGCUUUGUAAGUCAGUGGUGAAAUACGGUAGCUCAACUAUCGAGGUGCCAUUGAUACUGCGGAGCUUGAGUACAGAUGAGGUAGGCGGAAUUGACGGUGUAGCGGUGAAAUGCUUAGAUAUCGUCAAGAACACCUAUAGCGAAGGCAGCUUACUAGGCUGUAACUGACGCUGAGGCACGAAAGUGUGGGGAUCAAACAGG
rnacentral:rRNA from 1 species